CCCAGUAACGGCGAGUGAAGCGGGAAGAGCUCACGUUGUAAAUCUGACUUCGGUCCGAAUUGUAGUCUGGAGAGGCGUGACCAGCUGGAGUCGGGGGCGAAGUCUCUUGGAAAAGAGCAUCAAGGAGGGUGACAAUCCCGUUCUUGCCCCCGCGCUCCACGCGUACGGUCCGUUUUCUACGAGUCGAGUUGCUUGGGAUUGCAGCUCAAAGCGGGUGGUAAAUUCCAUCUAAAGCUAAACACGGGUGGGAGACCGAUAGCGAACAAGUACCGUGAGGGAAAGAUGCAAAGAACUUUGAAAAGAGAGUUAAAGAGUGCCUGAAAUUGCUGAAAGGGAAGCGAAGGAAACCAGUGUCUGGCGGUUCCGCUUCUCCUUGGCCCCUCGGGGCCUUGGUUUGCGUUUCCGCCGUGGCCAGGGCCGGGUAGUGUUGCGGGAGCCUGCGCUUCGGAAGGUAGCAUCUCUUCGGAGUGUGAAGACCGUGGCGUGUCGUCGCGACGCUGGCCGGUUCUGACGAAAUGGUUUUCUUUAC
rnacentral:rRNA from 1 species